rnacentral:lncRNA from 1 species
UUUUCAUCCAGAAUGAACAUUUUUAUUAGGGCUGAGAAAUGAUUUUGAUUGGGAGUUCUAUGUCAAAUCCAAGGGGAGGGGUGGGCCACUGUAAGGUCCUACGAGAGUAUUUGGAGGAGGUGGGCAGGAGAGGGAAGGAGGCAGACGUCAGACCUGGCGGUUCCAUGACCCGUCUUGGGACUAUGAGGCAGUAUAGGCCAAAGGACAAGGGGUAAGGAGGGCGAGGAAAAAAUGCCAAAGAUAGUGGGUCAUCUACCUCAUAGAGACAGGCCCGAGUGCCCACUCCCAGGCUCCUUAGCUCUUCAUUGAGCGUUCGGUUUUCUAACAUCUGCAGCCAAACGCACACGGAAUACAUCGAUAUCCAAUGAGAUUGGAAAGAAUGAGGCUGACUCAGUGAGAGGGAAGAACAAAGACUCGAGUGAAAGGGUAAGCAGGCUCAGUCUUCCAGAGAUCACACGGGGCCCAAAAACACACAGCUUACUUCUCUGCCCGCCGACAAGACAGAAGUCCUGACUAAAAGAAUAAAUGCAUCAUUACAUUCAAUACAAUGAUGCCCAAAGCUCGAACUGGCUGUCUCAAAUUUAACUCUGUCCUUCUGUGCUUUGAUUGCGAAUAUGAAAAUGCAUGCUUCUACGCUAAAGCUGGAUGUUUUGCAUCCUACAGAGAAAAGAAUGGAACAGAUUUAGAAUCAAUUUAGUAUUUCUCUUGCAAUCCAUUUGGAGGAGUUCCCACUGAGAACUCAUCUGCCUCACUCUCUCUGCAGCCGUCUUUAAUAAGAUCUGUGCGGAAAAAUAAGUAGUAACACUGGGUAGCCUGUUUUGACUCUUGUAUAUGCUAUUUGGAAAUUAAAGCCACUAUGGCAAGCUGGCAGAAUACAGGACAGGGCCCGUGAAAAAUGCUGGACUGAUCAAUAUUUAAGAAUGCACAGGCAAGAGCAAUAAAUAAAUGGAGCAAAUGCAACGGGGAGGUGAAUCUAGGACAGGUACAUAUACCCUCCAAACAAAGAUGAAUCCCUUUUUGUGGCAAGAAACACAGUGCAACACUGAAUGCUCCAUCAGUGCAACGUGCAGUCCCAAGAUGCUGGUCUUGAGAGAAAGGAUUUCUUCAUGCUCAACACGGCAGAUGAGCCGAUGUUGGUUCAGAAACAGAGAUACAGAAACAGAAACAGCGAAGUAACAGGCUGAGAACAGGAGCCAGCAAUGGAUGGUCGAGAGCGAAUCCACGGGCAUGCUUGCAACGUUCACUGUGUUCGCCUUGAAAUUCUUUUUCUUUUCCAACAAAGUGCAAAUAUCUUUAGUCUGAUUCAGUAACAUAGCAGCAAAACUGCAGGGACCAAUAAAUAAGGAUGCUGACAAGCCACUGCCCCUUGGCCUUUCAGACUCAAAGCUUCGCCAACCUCAGCCUUCAACAGAAGGGGCAAAUGUGUCGUGACUCAGCAACUGUGUUCCGUGUCCUUGUACAAACCACACUGUUCAUACCCACCCCCAUGCCC